CCAAAUGAAAUUAUGAGUCAGGUUGGUGAACAUGAUAUGUGACCAGUGACUGGGGAAAAAAUCUAAGCCAAAGGAACUGCAGCAUCUCAAUAUAUUUUACAAAAAGAAAUCAUUGUUUUAAAAAUUAAUGAUGGAAUGUUGCGCUGUUUUGAGAUGUUAAAAUUUGUCAUUCCAUAAAUUUCAUAUGAAUAUUUAAUAUAAAUUACUGUGAUACAAUGUUAAAUGUGACUAUGUGACUAAAUGUGACUUUGAUACUAUAGUUAAUCAUUUAAACACUGCUUUUUAAAGAUUUGUGGAAAAGUGUUUUUUAUCUCCAUAGUCUUUUGUUCUAGAAAUGUACUAUUUAAUUAAUGACUUGUGAGUAGUUUAUUGGAUUGAUUUGUAAGUAAUUUAUUGAAAUGAUUUGUUUGUGAAUUUUUAAAGCAGUCUAUUGAAGAGAUUGGUUAGUAGUGUGUUAUUGUUAAUUUAAUUUGUUUAGUAGUGUGUUAAAGUACUGUAAUAUGGUUAGCAGUUUGUUUAUGUGAUUUGUAAGUUAGAUUUUUUAACUGAUUUGUAUGUUAGAAGUUUGUGAAGUGAUUUGUUAUUUAAUUAUGAAUUUAUAAGUACAUGUAAUUUUAAAUGAUUUGUUCUUAAAGUGAUUUGUUAGAAGUUUGUGAAGUGAUUUGUUAAAAUUAAUUCGCUACAUUCAUAAUUCGUUAUAUCCGAAUAACGAAUUCGUAUAACCAUUAUACCAAAUUCGCCAUAUGCAUGUUUUCCUUCAAGUAUUAGUACCAAAUUUAAAUAGGUUAGGGAAGCAAAUAUUACAAAACAUUUCUUUGAUAACCAGGGUUAUAUUAUGAAUUGAAUUUUAUAUACAAAAGCUAAAAAGAGAUAAAGCCAGUUCAAUUUAUCAAUUUUUUAUAAUCUUUGAAAGUUCGCUAUAAAAGAUGUAAAUUUUAAUAUAUUUAACCUCAACGGGACUCAAUACAGUUCACUAUAUUCGUUAAUUUGUUAUAACAGAGUUCGUUAUUACUGUAAAAUUUUACAAAGAUUUGUUAAGAAUUUUGCCGUAGACCCAGAAAAACUUCGCUGUAUCCGUGAAUUCACUAGUAUAUCCAUGUUUGUACUAAAUGAGUUUUACUGUAGUGUGUUUAUCUUAUGUCAAACUAGUUUGUUCAAGUGAUAUGCUUGUAGUUUGUUAAUAUUAAUGAUUUGUUUGUAGUUUGUCAAGUGAUUUGUUUUUAGUUUAUUGAAUAUUGUAGGAUUUUGUAAGUGUUUUGUUUUUACAUGUACAAACACUGUAAUAAGUUGAAGUGUUUUGUGAUUGUUUUUAAUUUGUUAGAGUGUUUUGUAAUUAUUUUGUUAGUGAUUUUUGUUUUCAGUUUAAGUGAUUUGAUAGUGUUAAGGAAUUUGUUAUUAGUGUAUUGAUAUGUUUAUUUGUACAAAUGUAAGAGUGUUGUUCAUGUAGUUCACUUUUAGUUUUUUGAAGUGACUUAUUGGUAGUCUCUUUGUAGUUUGUUAAAGUGAUAUUUUUAGUUACUUUAGAUGAUUUGUUAGUAGUUUUGUGAACAGGAAGUAAUUUGUUAAAAUGAUUGAAGUUGUUAGGCUUUUUUGUCAAUUUGGGCAUCUAGCUUUUACUUAAGACUAAAUUUUUUUUAAAGCUCUUAAAAAUUUUAUCUAUUAUUCUUAAAAAUAUGGUUGAUGUUAAUUUAUAAUAUUUCAUUUCUAAAUUUUUUUCUCUGUGAUAACUCUUUGAAAGUUAGAGGAGUUGAUUUCUUGAUAAUUCUACCGAAAUGUAAACUAGGCAGGUUGAUAGGUCAGGAGCUAAGGAGGCCAAAUAUGCAUGCAAAUCUUGUGUGGCUGCCUUUGUGUUUGUCUCCGUUUUUAAAGUCUAAAUCUACAAUUUUUUUUCCACAAUGAAAUGGAAAUACCGUGUAAGUGGAAAUUUUAGCGAGACGCAAAUUUAGCGUUUUGUCCUUAAAAACUGGAAAUUUUUUUUAACGAGAUGUUAUUUUAGCGAUUUUAAAAUGCACAUUAAAGAAACUAUUACAAAUAAAACGCAACUAAUUUUUAGCCAUAUUCAAUUGUAGUGAUCUUGACACCCUCGCUAAUAAUGCCAAAAUGAAAUCCUUGCUAAAAAUUCUACUUAUACGGUAUAAGGAAUCAUUGUCUAGUUGGUAUAGUAUUCUAGGGACAUCAAUGAUAGUGGGAAACAUGGGAUAAUUUAUGCAUAAAGGGCCUCGUCAUGCAAAUAAUCCCAUGUUUCCCACUAUCAUUGAUGCCCUGGCAUACUUCACUAACUAGACAGUGAUUCCUUAAAUAUGACUACAUAAAAAAAAAGAUGAGUUGUAGUUACAUUUGACAUUGUACUUCGAAUUGGUUCUCAUUGGAAUGAAACUUGAUGGAAGGAUGAAUCUAUUGCAUUUGUAAUUUAUACAUUUGCACGUGUCAUUUUAAAUUGGUUAAUUUCUUUUUAUUUGUAAUAAUAUAACCAUUUUCAGAUUUUCUAUAUGAUGAUUUUGAUAAAAUGACAUAAUAAAUAAUCCAAGUUCA